rnacentral:rRNA from 1 species
UACGUAGGGUGCGAGCGUUAAUCGGAAUUAUUGGGCGUAAAGCGCACGUAGGCGGCUUGGCAAGUCGGAUGUGAAAUCCCUCGGCUCAACCAAGGAAGUGCAUCCGAAACUGCUGAGCUUGAGUACUUAAGAGGAUCGCGGAAUUCCCGGUGUAGAGGUGAAAUUCGUAGAUAUCGGGAGGAACACCAGUGGCGAAGGCGGCGACCUGGGCCAAUAUUGACGCUGAGGUGCGAAAGCGUGGGGAGCAAACAGG